rnacentral:misc_RNA from 1 species
GUGCAUCGAACUGCUGACUCCCCAUCCGCUUCAGUCUUUCCCCAAGAGAAGAUCCUUCCUUGUGGGAGCUUGUGGUAUCCUGUGUUGCUUACCCACGAAAUGGAAUUCAAUGGCUUUGCUGUUUUGAUCCGUCAUGUGCCCUUUGGGGUGUGGGACGGACGUGAGGCGGGCUCUGUGUUCCCGACGUGCCUAGUGUGUUAUCGCUUGGCCGUUGUUGCCCAUGGAGUCUCUGCUUGUUCUCUCGGAUACGGAAUGCUAUGCGGGGGCGUGAGGUCUUGACCUCAUUACGUCCAAGCACUGUCCCUUGACUCGAACGACUGCUGUGCUCGUCUUUGAUCUUCCCGACCAAGGCCUCGUAGUGGGGCUUACUGGACGAGGGUUGCUCAUGCGGGCUUCGGCGUCGAAGAGGAAUGC